UUUUAUCAGAGAGUUUGAUCCUGGCUCAGGAUGAACGCUGGCGGCGUGCUUAACACAUGCAAGUCGAACGGGAAAUAUCUUUAUUG
rnacentral:rRNA from 1 species